rnacentral:rRNA from 1 species
GUAGGUGACCUGCGGAGGGAUCAUUACAGAGUUCAUGCCCUCACGGGUAGAUCUCCCACCCUAUGUUAUCGUUAUCUUCGUUGCUUUGGCGAGCCGUCAGGCUUUUUAGUCAGGCUACUGGCUUCGGCUAGUAAGCGCUCGCCAGAGGACCCCAAACUCUGAAUGUUAGUGUCGUCUGAGUGCUAUAUAAUAGUUAAAACUUUCAACAACGGAUCUCUUGGUUCUGGCAUCGAUGAAGAACGCAGCGAAAUGCGAUAAGUAAUGUGAAUUGCAGAAUUCAGUGAAUCAUCGAAUCUUUGAACGCACAUUGCGCCCCUUGGUAUUCCGGGGGGCAUGCCUGUUCGAGCGUCAUUACAACCCUCAAGCCUGGCUUGGUAUUGGGCUUCGCCGUUUUGGCGGGCCUUAAAAUCAGUGGCGGUGCCGUCGAGGCCCUGAGCGUAGUAAAUAUCCUCGCUAUAGGGACCCGGUGGUUGCUAGCCAUGAACCCCCAACUUUCUAAGUUUGACCUCGGAUCAGGUAGGGAUACCCGCUGAACUUAAGCAUAUCAAUAAGCGGAGGAAAAACCUGUGCAUCUCCAAUCAUAUGGGGUUGUGCUGUUCUUCCUCCUCUGUUGUGUCACAACUCACAUGAGACUUUGUUUUCUGAGCUCGUGGGAGACUACCCUGAGCUUUUACAUAUAUAUCUCCGGGUG